GAAGCAAGUGAUGAUAAAAAGACAGGGACAUCAGAACUCCUUUUGGAGAAAAGAUGACUUAGUCUAAUGGGAAUCUCUCUGAUGCUCA